CAUGCCGCUUCUUGAUAUCUCCGUUGACCAGUACAACCGGUCACCGGACCAAAUCGGAGCAAAACAUCUCCGUUGAACUCCUUCGCAAUCAUCCGUAAGAAACUAUGGGGCUCUAAUUUCUGAGAGAAUCAAUCGCAAAGGCGAUAUCUCUACCUCAAUCUUUCGCUACAAACCCUCAGAUGAAACGUUGCACAUCACAAACACCCAAACCACCGGAGAGCUUCCACCGUCCUCGACGGGAUCUCUCCCAAAACACCAUAGACGAAACCACACAAGCAAAAAAACUUAGGAUGCCUCUAAGAAAAACAUAAGUCGGCAGCGUAGAGCUAUAGGAGCUCCUACCCUCCGAAGCCAAAAGCCGGCGAAGACGGAACUGAGAGAGCUUCCUCUUCUCGGGAACUAGAACCAGCGUCGGCGGAGCUAAGAGAGCGUCCACCUCCUGGAGAAAGGCCGGCGUCAAUGGAACUAGGUUAGCUUCCAUCGCCCGGAAGAAAACAACACAAACAUGCAGACCACUCUGCUCUCACCGGCUCCUCCUCAGAUCACGUCUUCACUCCAAAAAGAUGAAACCACCGACGAAGAGUGGUAACCGAAUCAGGGGUCGGACAAAGCGAUCAUUAAAGAACGGUAGAGAAGGGGUAAAGAGAACUCGAAUGGUGAAGGAAAGAGGGGAUCCGGCGACGGCACGGACGCUCACGCGCCGUCCGAUCGCCGGUCCCUAUUUAACUCUCGCUAGCUUCUCUCUAGACGAAAGAGUUUCCCCGAAUUAGUCUCCUCCUGCC
rnacentral:lncRNA from 1 species